ACCGCUCAAAAGCCAUUCUGUUUAGCCUUUGAAUGGAUGGAUACUACCUACGCUCAUGUGAAACUCUUUCGACGAGUCGAGUUGUUUGGGAAUGCAGCUCAAAAUGGGUGGUAUAUUUCAUCUAAAGCUAAAUAUUGGCCAGAGACCGAUAGCGCACAAGUAGAGUGAUCGAAAGAUGAAAAGCACUUUGGAAAGAGAGUUAAACAGUACGUGAAAUUGUUGAAAGGGAAGCGCUUGCAAUCAGACUUGCACUUGGUGUUCAUCAGGGCUUCGUGCCCUGUGUACUUCAUCAAGUUCAGGCCAGCAUCAGUUUGAGUGGUUAGAUAAAGGCCUUGAGAAUGUGGCCCUCUUCGGGGGGUGUUAUAGCUCUCGGUGCAAUGUAGCCUACUUGGACUGAGGACACGACUCUGGCGGAGGUGCCUUUCGGGGAACACAUGAAAGAUCCUGUAUUAGUCGCAGAUAUUGUCAAGGUAUGCUUGUAAGCAUUUGUCGAGCUAGAAAAAGAG
rnacentral:ncRNA from 1 species